rnacentral:rRNA from 1 species
AUAUCAAUAAGCGGAGGACAAGAAACCAACAGGGAUUGCCUUAGUAACGGCGAGUGAAGCGGCAAUAGCUCAAAUUUGAAAUCUGGCGUCUUUGGGCGUCCGAGUUGUAAUUUGUAGAGGAUGUUUCGGUAUUAGCUCUAAUCUAAGUUCCUUGGAACAGGACGUCGCAGAGGGUGAGAAUCCCGUACGCGAUUAGUUGCUUUUGCCAUGUGAAACUCCUUCGACGAGUCGAGUUGUUUGGGAAUGCAGCUCUAAUUGGGAGGUAAAUUUCUUCUAAAGCUAAAUAUUGGCCAGAGACCGAUAGCGCACAAGUA